AGGCAGCAUGGGGAAUAUUGCACAAUGGGGGAAACCCUGAUGCAGCCAUGCCGCGUGUGUGAAGAAGGCCUUCGGGUUGUAAAGCACUUUCAGUAGGGAGGAAGGUAGUGUAGUUAACACCUGCAUUAUUUGACGUUACCUACAGAAGAAGCACCGGCUAACUCCGUGCCAGCAGCCGCGGUAAUACGGAGGGUGCGAGCGUUAAUCGGAAUUACUGGGCGUAAAGCGCAUGCAGGCGGCCUGUUAAGUCAGAUGUGAAAGCCCGGGGCUUAACCUCGGAAUUGCAUUUGAAACUGGCAGGCUAGAGUCUUGUAGAGGGGGGUAGGAAUUUCAGGUGUAGCGGUGAAAUGCGUAGAGAUCUGAAGGAAUACCAGUGGCGAAGGCGGCCCCCUGGACAAAGACUGACGCUCAGAUGCGAAAGCGUGGGGAGCAAACAGGAUUAGAUACCCUGGUAG
rnacentral:rRNA from 1 species